UACGUAGGGGGCAAGCGUUGUCCGGAUUUAUUGGGCGUAAAGAGCGUGUAGGCGGCUUGGUAGGUCCGCUGUGAAAACUCGAGGCUCAACCUCGAGAUGUCGGCGGAAACCACUUGGCUAGAGUCCGGAAGAGGAGAGUGGAAUUCCCGGUGUAGCGGUGAAAUGCGCAGAUAUCGGGAAGAACACCUAUGGCGAAGGCGGCCUGCUGGGCUGUUGCUGACGCUGAGGCGCGACAGCGUGGGGAGCAAACAGG
rnacentral:rRNA from 1 species